rnacentral:rRNA from 1 species
GACGAACGCUGGCGGCGUGCUUAACACAUGCAAGUCGAACGGAAAGGCCCUGCUUUUGUGGGGUGCUCGAGUGGCGAACGGGUGAGUAACACGUGAGUAACCUGCCCUUGACUUUGGGAUAACUUCAGGAAACUGGGGCUAAUACCGGAUAGGAGCUCCUGCUGCAUGGUGGGGGUUGGAAAGUUUCGGCGGUUGGGGAUGGACUCGCGGCUUAUCAGCUGGUUGGGGGGGUAGGGGCUUACCAAGGCUUUGACGGGUAGCCGGCCUGAGAGGGUGACCGGCCACAUUGGGACUGAGAUACGGCCCAGACUCCUACGGGAGGCAGCAGUGGGGAAUAUUGCACAAUGGGCGGAAGCCUGAUGCAGCAACGCCGCGUGCGGGAUGACGGCCUUCGGGUUGUAAACCGCUUUCGCCUGUGACGAAGCGUGAGUGACGGUAAUGGGUAAAGAAGCACCGGCUAACUACGUG